rnacentral:rRNA from 1 species
GACGAACGCUGGCGGCGUGCCUAAUACAUGCAAGUUGAGCGAUGAAGAUUGGUGCUUGCACCAAUUUGAAGAGCAGCGCACGGGUGAGUAACGCGUGGGGAAUCUGCCUUUGAGCGGGGGACAACAUUUGGAAACGAAUGCUAAUACCGCAUAACAACUUUAAACAUAAGUUUUAAGUUUGAAAGAUGCAAUUGCAUCACUCAAAGAUGAUCCCGCGUUGUAUUAGCUAGUUGGUGAGGUAAAGGCUCACCAAGGCGAUGAUACAUAGCCGACCUGAGAGGGUGAUCGGCCACAUUGGGACUGAGACACGGCCCAAACUCCUACGGGAGGCAGCAGUAGGGAAUCUUCGGCAAUGGACGAAAGUCUGACCGAGCAACGCCGCGUGAGUGAAGAAGGUUUUCGGAUCGUAAAACUCUGUUGGUAGAGAAGAACGUUGGUGAGAGUGGAAAGCUCAUCAAGUGACGGUAACUACCCAGAAAGGGACGGCUGACUACGUG